rnacentral:lncRNA from 1 species
UAGAUUUUAUUACUAAUAUUCAUAAUAAUAAAAAGAAUAAAAAUAUAUUACCAUUCCAUUCCAUAUGUGACAGCUCAUUAAUUUCUCUCAUAAGCUGGAAUGAUAAGAACGAAAAGGAGAGAAGUUUCCGAUGGGAGUAACACCUGCACUUCCCACGCGUCCUCUCUCAACGGCAUUAUGGAGAGGAAACAGCUGGCAAAUAAAAAAGGGGAAAAUCAAUACUCCCUCCAAUGAGGAAGGGACACGCCGCCUACAAGCCUCUUCCUCUUUCCAAAGUUCAUUACAAACUAAAAAAA